rnacentral:rRNA from 1 species
CCUACGGGGUGCAGCAGUGAGGAAUAUUGGUCAAUGGCCGGAAGGCUGAACCAGCCAAGCCGCGUGAAGGACGAAGGUGCCAAGCAUUGUAAACUUCUUUUGUCAAGGGACAAAAUCAGGCUCGAGAGCCUGACCGAGGGUACUUGAAGAAAAAGCAUCGGCUAACUCCGUGCCAGCAGCCGCGGUAAUACGGAGGAUGCGAGCGUUAUCCGGAUUUAUUGGGUUUAAAGGGUGCGUAGGCGGGCUGUUAAGUCAGCGGUAAAAGCCCGGGGCUCAACCCCGGCGAGCCGUUGAAACUGGCUGGCUUGAGAAGUCGAGAGGUAUGCGGAAUGCGCAGUGUAGCGGUGAAAUGCUUAGAUAUUGCGCAGAACUCCGAUUGCGAAGGCAGCAUACCGGCGGCGAUCUGACGCUGAGGCACGAAAGCGUGGGUAUCGAACAGGAUUAGAUACCCCUGUAGUC